CAAAGGCUUAGUCCUGGCUUUACUGUCGGCCCUAGCUUAAUUUACACAUGCAAGUAUCCGCACCCCCGUGAGAAUGCCCUGUAGUUUCCCGCCCGGAGACUGGGAGCCGGUAUCAGGCACAUCUACUUAGCCCAUGACACCUAGCCAAGCCACGCCCUCAAGGGUAUUCAGCAGUGAUAGACUUUUAGCCAUAAGUGAAAACUUGACUUAGUUAAAGCUAAGAGGGCCGGUAAACCUCGUGCCAGCCACCGCGGUUAGACGAGAGGCCCAAGUUGACAGCCCCGGCGUAAAGAGUGGUUAAGGAAUGACCUAAACUAAAGCCGAACAUUUUCAGCGCUGUUAUACGCCUUCGAAAACAAGAAGCUCAACUACGAAAGUGGCUUUACACACCCCGAACCCACGAAAGCUAUGGCACAAACUGGGAUUAGAUACCCCACUAUGCUUAGCCCUAAACACUGAUAGCCUUAUACAUCUGCUAUCCGCCUGGUAAUUACGAGCAUCAGCUUAAAACCCAAAGGACUUGGCGGUGCUUUAGACCCACCUAGAGGAGCCUGUCCUAGAACCGAUAAUCCCCGUUAAACCUCACCUUUCCUUGUUUAUUCCGUCUAUAUACCGCCGUCGUCAGCUUACCCCCUGAAGGACCUAUCGUAAGCAAAAUUGGCACAGCCCAGAACGUCAGGUCGAGGUGUAGCGUAUGGAAAGGGAAGAGAUGGGCUACAUUCCCUAAUAAAGCGAAUACGAACGAUGUUUCUGAAACGAUCAUACUGAAGGAGGAUUUAGCAGUAAGCAGAAAACAAAGUGUUCUGCUGAAGCCGGCCCUGAAGCGCGCACAUACCGCCCGUCACUCUCCCCAAAACCCCAAAAUAACCUUAACUAAAACAAGAGAAUCCAGAAGGGGAGGCAAGUCGUAACAUGGUAAGUGUACCGGAAGGUGUACUUGGUCAAAC
rnacentral:ncRNA from 1 species